AACGAACGCUGGCGGCAUGCCUAACACAUGCAAGUCGAACGAGACCUUCGGGUCUAGUGGCGCACGGGUGCGUAACGCGUGGGAACCUGCCUUUAGGUUCGGAAUAACUCAGAGAAAUUUGAGCUAAUACCGGAUAAUGUCUUCGGACCAAAGAUUUAUCGCCUUUAGAUGGGCCCGCGUAAGAUUAGGUAGUUGGUGGGGUAAUGGCCUACCAAGCCGACGAUCUUUAGCUGGUCUGAGAGGAUGAUCAGCCACACUGGGACUGAGACACGGCCCAGACUCCUACGGGAGGCAGCAGUGGGGAAUAUUGGACAAUGGGCGAAAGCCUGAUCCAGCAAUGCCGCGUGAGUGAUGAAGGCCUUAGGGUUGUAAAGCUCUUCUACUAGGGAUGAUAAUGACAGUACCUGGAGAAUAAGCUCCGGCUAACUCCGUGCCAGCAGCCGCCGUAAAAC
rnacentral:rRNA from 1 species